UGAAUACGAGACGCUAAGGCGUCGAAGUAGUGUAUGUCAUACUUCCAAGAAAAGCUUGCACUGUCAUAGAUAAAAAACGCCUGUACCAUAACCGACACAGGUGGGUAGGUAGAGUAUACUAAGGGGCGCGAGAUAACUCUCUCUAAGGAACUCGGCAAAAUGACUCCGUAACUUCGGGAGAAGGAGUGCCUUAUUCUUAAGGUUGCAAUAACAAGAUCCAAGCAACUGUUUAUCAAAAACACAGGUCUCCGCUAAGUCGUAAGACGAUGUAUGGGGGCUGACGCCUGCCCAGUGCCAGAAGGUUAAAGAAGUUGGUUAGCAUUUGCGAAGCUGAUAACUGAAGCCCUGGUGAACGGCGGCCGUAACGAUAACGGUCCUAAGGUAGCGAAAUUCCUUGUCGGGUAAGUUCCGACCCGCACGAAAGGCGUAAUGAUUUGGAUACUGUCUCGGAGAGGGGCUCGGUGAAAUAGACUUGUCUGUGAAGAUGCGGACUACCUGCACCAGGACAGAAAGACCCUAUGGAGCUUUACUGUAACUUGAAAUUGAAAUUGGACUUUAUUCGCGCAGUAUAGGUGGGAGGCGUUGAUUAUAAUCUUGCGGGAUUAUUGGAGCCAUCAGUGAGAUACCACCCUUGUAAUGUUAGAUUUCUAACUUUGAAUCAUUAUCUGGUCAAAGAACAGUUUCAGGCGGGCAGUUUGACUGGGGCGGUCGCCUCCUAAACGGUAACGGAGGCGUACAAAGGUUUCCUCUGAACGGUUAGAAAUCGUAUCUAGAGUGUAAAGGCAUAAGGAAGCUUGACUGUGAGACCUACAAGUCGAGCAGGGACGAAAGUCGGUCUUAGUGAUCUGACGGUACUGAGUGGAAAGGCCGUCACUCAACGGAUAAAAGUUACUCUAGGAUAACAGGCUGAUCUCCCCCAAGAGUUCACAUCGACGGGAAGGUUUGGCACCUCGAUGUCGGCUCAUCGCAUCCUGGGGCGGUAGUACGUCCCAAGGGUUGGGCUGUUCGCCCAUGAAAGCGGUACGCGAGCUGGGUUCAGAACGUCGUGAGACAGUUCGGUCCAUAUCCGGUGUAGGCGUUAGAAUAUUGAGAGGAGCCUUCUUUAGUACGAGAGGACCGAGAAGGACAUACCUCUGGUGUACCAGUUAUCGUGCCAACGGUAAACGCUGGGUAGCUAUGUAUGGAGUGGAUAACCGCAGAAAGCAUCUAAGUGGGAAGCCCACCUCAAGAUAAGUAUUCUCA
rnacentral:rRNA from 1 species